UGAAUCCAUAUCUGCUGACACCUAAUUCAGUUUUGAAUUCAUCCUGUGGGGAUUAUUGUAUGACAGAUGCUGUGUAAAUUAUCCCUGUGGCAUGCUUUGCUCUUCUGGUAUCUCUGAUUUAAAGACUAGUCUAGGCCAAUACAACUAAGAAUGAUCUGGGGAUGAUUCUAGAGGGAAGUGGAAAAGGAUUCAGGCUCCCUCCACUGUGGCAUGCUGCAGAGCAAGGCAUCGGAGAGCAGAUCUUCCAGGCCACCCAGGAUGGACGUAUGCAUCUAAUGGACUGAGCUGGUGAGAACCAUCCAUACCAGGGUGUGGUUUGCUUGUUACCUUGUAAUUUAGGUGGCCCUGAGGGCUGCAUUGUGCAGGUGGUUCUUAAAGAGGUACAAGUCAGAGAGGUUUAUGGUAGAGGCAGAGGUUUCCAUGGUGAGGAUUUUGGUUUUUGUUUAGGUUUGGGGUUUUUGAGACAGAAUGAAUUCAUAACCCUGUUUAUUCUGGAACUUAGUUUAUAGUCAAGGCUCAGAGAUAGUAUAUAGAUAGACCUCAGACUUGGAGAUCCAACCUUCUCUGCUUCUGAAGUGCUGGCAUUUUUUGUACAAGGUGAACAAUAACUUCCUAAUUUGAAUCUUCCACAGAUGUCAAUUUGGACAUGCUAGUUUGCUGACUAGGCUACCAGUUUUUCUGCUGGUAUUUUGCCGUUGUCAGGAAUUAGAUGGCCAUACAUAGCUUUGUUGGGUCUACUUCUAGGUCUUUCCUAUAGACAGACAGACAGACAGACAGAGGGAAGAAUGCCUGUAGCCUAGAAACCAGAGAGGAGAAGGAAGCCCAUCUCCUAAAGCUUGCUGAAGGAAUGCAGGUCCACCGACAGUCUGUCAGGACCUCCAGUAAUAAGCGUGUGCUUGAUCUGCCUGCAGCAAUAGCAGACUACACAAUGCAUGACAUGCUUCUGUAGAAGUGGUUGGUCACUGUGACAGCCCCGGCUAGUUACCUCUCCCUGAGAAGCCAACCUCUCAUAACCACGUGCUCAGAGGUCUGCUUCAAAUCCUGCACCACUACAGCAUAGAGCAUGCUCCUUCAUUUCCUGUUAUGUUGCUCACUGGCCACAUAACAUAACCUGACAUUACUUUAAGAGUGUCCUUUACUGUGUAACUUAAAUAUUCAUUCAUCGCGUGUGUGUGUGUGUGUGUGUGUGUGUGUGUGUGUGUGUGUGUGUGUGUGUAUUCCAAAGUGUGCAUAUGGCAGUCAGAGGACAACCUAUGAAAGUGGGUUACAGGGAUUGAACUCAGACAUCAGACUUGACAGCAAAGUGCCUUUACCUGCUGAGCCAUCUCUCCAGCCCCAAAAAGCCUCUGUUUUGAUUUCCACGUGAGAUCAGGGGCUUAGCACAACUCACUUUUCCCUAGCACAGAGUGAGGACCCAUUAAGUCAUCGUUGAAAGAGGGAAAGGAAGGAAGCAGCAUGCUCUCGUAAGGAUCUUCCCUCUUAAGGGCUUCCUAAGUGAUGUUCCCACUUUACCUGUGUCCUUACAGUAUAGUUCAUAUACUUUAACCCCUAAAAUCUUUCACUAUAAAGAUGAUACUGCUUCAAUUGUGGGCUUCUUCAAACACUGCAGAUUCUCAGCAACACCUUGGUGUUCAUUUGACACAAUAUAUGACCAAAAAAAAAAAAAAAAGAUGCCGUAGGCUGGGCCAGCAGCUUUAUAAAACCACAGUUACAGGGAUUUAAGCUGCUAUUGCUGGCCAGGAGCAAAGGGGAAUGGGUUCCCAGUAGGUCCCCCCAGGGCUUCCCUAAGCCAUGCUGCCCAGUAAGGUUGGAUCUUAAUUCACCACCUGAGGUUUACAGAGAAACUGGAGCUACGUGGGAGUUAUUAGGUUAACCAGUUCCCUGCCUUGCCCAUGUGAGCCAAAACCAAUCUCAGUGGUGAUGUGGUAGCUGGCUCCUGAAACACGGAUUUUUUUUCUGAACCCUGGUUUCCCAGACAAGGGACUUGACAUGCUUUUUGAUGUGGUUGGGUUAGAAAUCCUGACUCUGGCAUCAGUGCAAAGGCUGACAGGUAACUAGUGACUUUAUGACCUUUUUAAAUCUGAUAGUGCAACCCCUGCCUUAGGCUAUUCCUGGAUAGUCGGGGUUGCCUGAAGUUAAUGGCUCACGGAACAGCCUUGAGCCAGUAAGGAAAGAAGUGGCCAAAGGCUCUCCUUCAGCUGAGUUACACUGUGUCCCCAGCCGCCUGACGCUCCAGUUCGUAAGGCCCUCUGAUUGGCUACCUUCCAGGUAUCUCACAAUACCUGUUUGCUCACAUGAGCACUGGGAAGAGAAAGUACAGUACCCACCACAGAUGUGUCUCUAGUAACAUAACCAUCGACUGGAUAGUUUAAAAACAGCAGUGUUGUUACCACAGUUCCAGAUGUGAGAACCCUAAGAUCAAGGCACUCAGUGUCGGGUGGGGCCGUUGUUGCCUUGUUUACAGAUGUCAUCUUGUGAAGUUGUUGCCUUGUUUACAGAUGUCAUCUCGUGAAGUUGCUGUGUCUUCGAGUGAUAGAAGGGGUGAACUACUCUCUAGUCUUCUCAAGGUCCUAACCCUCUCUUAAGUGUUCCAGAACUCAGCCAUUUGCUUUUACUAUAGUAAGCUCAGGAAAUCUUUCACAUAUUGUAGAAGUUCUUUCAGAAUGCUCCAUUCCAUCCAUACUGUAACUUGAAAUGCGUAUCUGAAGAUGACAGGAAGCAAGCCCUCAUUCGGAUAGACUGGAGGGAUGCGGACGGAUGCGCUGGCUCAGUAGCUGCUCUUGUGUCUGCUCGUCCCGAGUACAUGCAAGCCAGGCUCCUUGCUGGCCUAAGUUUCUAUUUGUCUUCUAGGUGUGCUGGUUAACAUGCUCUGUCCUGUGUAAGCCACGCCCUUAAGUGAUUCACCAACUGUGGCCUGCAAGAGGAAGUUAAACAUACUUGCAGAACUAAUCCAAGAAUCUUUAACCUCCAACGCUUUGUUUUUCUGGCCCAUGCCAAAGCCUACAGCAUGUUCUUUUAAGCAACCUCCGUCUCUCCAGGCAUGCCAGGACGUUCCUCUCCGUUUUUAUAGGAACAUGGACUGCUUUUCACACUUGUUUUUAAAUAGGUUUCAUAACAUGUAAUGCAACUGUAAAAUCGAAGAAGUAGAAUUAAUGCUUCCUGUAGACAGACGUCUUCUAAUCUUGUUGUGUAUCUGUGUGUUUUCGGAAUUGGAAUUUGUGUCCACUUCAUAGGGUUCAGGUGUCUGCUGUAGGAUGGAGUAAACCAGCCUUGACAGCUUUCCUAAGCAGGAAACUCACUAGGUGGCCAUCUGGGGGCAUAGUCAAGUGGAGCUUCCAGCAUGUCACCAGCUGUGGGCAUCCUCAAAUGGUCCGUGGGUAAUAAAUAAGCUGCCUAGUUGGGGAAAGAACAAAACAAAACAAAAAAACCUACCGUAUUAUGUUUAAAGAGGCAGGGAAGGGCCCCGAAUCAGCUGCCUUGUUCCUGUUGUAAGCCACUGAAGGACAGAAAAUGACAAGGUGAGAGGUAGUGUAUCUGCCCCAGCAGGCGGGAAGGACCCUACUUCCCCGCAGUCAUGGGCAUGAGACAUAGGCUCUCGGCCCUCAUAGCAUCACAGAAAACGACAGGUGGGAGUGGAAGUGGGUACCACCCGGAGGAGAUGCAGUUCUAGAUUGGGGCUCAUUGAAGGCAGGCCCGGUAUUGCUGAUUAUCCAUCUGUGUCCAGUGCCUGGCAAAUUGUCCUUACCCUGCGAAGACUGUGGAAGGGAUUCAAUUCUAAGUAUGAAGUGCACUCCUUAUGAGCAACAGAGUGUUGAGAAACAGUGAUUGAAAGUACAGUAAUAGCUGCGCACGGUGGUGCUCACCGUUAAUACCAACUGGUGCAUCUUUCUCAAUGUUUGAGGCCAACCUGGUCUAUACAGCAAGUUCUAGGUCAGGGCUGCAUAGUGAGACCCUGUCUCAAAAAUUUCCACAUCACAACAGGAUUCUUUCCACCCAUUUUCCCGGGAGCUGGUGGAUGGUCGAGUACUGGUAGGUGGGUAUGAUGUAGUGGCUGGAGUGUUAGCCCAGCUUACAUGAGAGGGGCCCUGGAUUCGAUUCCCAGUACUGCCUACAGUGAGGUGGAGGCACCCAGGCACUGCAGAGGUGUGAGUUGGGACUUCAAGCUUGAAGCUUGGGCUACUUUUGACCCUGUUGCUCAAACAGGGAAAGAAACAACAGCAACUCAUUCAGCCAGUGUGUGAAGCCACUUCUGAGACUGGUCCGACUCUGGGGAUCAGGUGGCCUUGAACUUGGGUUAUAAAUACUGGUAGAACCAGUGGCAUUUGGUAGAAUUCACAGACACUGAAACUUUCAAACUAGCUCAUUGUGUUUGUAGGCAGGAAAAAUGGUGGUACUUACUAGAAGUACUUUCUGAUCGCAAUUGUUCGUUGCACCAACAUUUUCCACAACUUUGUGUGAUCCACUGUACUUGGCUUCCCUAAGGGGUCAGCACUAAAGUUUCCCACCCUGCCUGCCUGCCCCCAGUGCUGAGCACACCACACACAGCCCCUGAGCACGACUGUUGUGAUAGAAGCUCCAAGGUUUGCAUCCUGUCGGGUCCUUUCCACUUCUUUUGCUGCACCAGUAUCCCGAAGCUACAGAGCUAAUUCCUUACGCAAACCUGUUGAGUUUAGUUUUUCUGCACCUAGAGUAAACUCUGUUGCUUUGACUAUUUCCUCAGAGGUAGUAAAAUAAACCAGAUAAUGAAAGCAACACUAGCUGUGUGGAAUUUUGGUUUCUUUAAAAAAAAAAAAAAAAGAAAAACAAAAACAAUACUAUAAAAAUACAUUUUCAUUUUCAUCCCAGGUGUGGGAUACGGGGCUGCUUCAGAUUGUCCACAUUAGCUGACUAUGAUUUGCCUCGUGCUCUUGUUGGGGAGGGGCUGUCAGUCAGUUUUGCCAGCUGCAGAUAGUUUCUGCGAUUGUGUGACAAUUGGAAUUCUGGGGACUCCUCAAAGGGUAUAUAAAUUUUAGGGCCCCCAGAGGUGGGGUGGGUUAAGUAGUCAGGUGCAAAGAAGAAACAACUACAAAUGAGAUAAUCUGACAGCGAAGAACACACUGGACACCAUUAACCAGCAGGAAGUCGUCCAGUCUCUGACUUACUUAGGGAUCUUUUCUUUCCUCGCUGUCCUUUCUCUUAUCUAGUGUUAGAGGGUUGAAAGGGUGGAAGCGAAGAUGGAGAACGGUAAAAGAAGAACCCACCGAGUAGCAAACGACAGCUAGCCACAUAGCUGUGUCUGUGAGACAGGGUUGUGUGCUGCUGUGAUUGUCCGCUGUGUGUACUAGUUCCUCCGCUGAGUGUGAGCUUGCAGAUCCGUCAACUCCCAAUGCCCGCAAUCCAACUAAUACUCGGGCUUCAAAAAUGUCCCAGAAAGAGAGAGACUUCCCCUACUCCCCACCCCACUGGGCAAAAGAAACUGCUCUGUAAUUUCAUCCCAUUUGGUUAGCUAUUCCUAGCUGCUAGUUCGUCAGGAAUGCACUUACUUCAGUAGAUUCUGGCUGAGACGGGGUAUGCCCAUCCCAGUGCCAAGCUUUCUGACAAUGAUGAACAACAGAAGUACAUUUUACACCCGGCUGCCCACAGUACAGUCAUGCACAAGUAGAUCUAGAAAACAGAACCCACGUUUCAAAGACUACUGUGCUCUCUGUGUGGUGUGAAGUACCCAGUGGUUGAGCCUGACUCGUUGAAAAUGUGUCUCUCAUCUCACAACUGGAUUGAGAAUUGUGGUCUAGAAAAUUCCAGGUUCCUAUCCCAGGUAUCUCGGCUCUCUAUAGCUUCUGCAAAGGAGGCAUUGCCACGGUGGGGCAAUGACUAAGUGGCCAGCUUUCCUCUGAUGCCCUUUAGUUGCCUUGGCUCCAUUCUGGUUCUGUUCAAAUCUCACAUUUCUCAAAAGUAAACGGCCUCAGAUGGACCAAAAGCCUCUUAAAGUAGACUGUACGUCGGGAAGAGUCCUUGGCCCUUUUGCAUGGUGUUCUGCGACUGUGUCCCCAGAGUCACUGAGAGCACUUUCUCCCGAGGGAAGUUCACUGUAUCUGUUUCCAUGGGGAUUUUCACCUCUGCUACACUUGUUGCUAGGCUCUCUUUCCCCCAAAUUGCAUGGCAGGGUAGAUGGCUAGUUUUAUAUUUGAAUUUGGCUAGACCACAAGACUCAGACAGGCCUGUGCUGGGUGUCUAGAUUUGAUGCUCCAUUCAGAGGACUAAGUGAAAACCAAUUCUCAUCCACCCUUUAAUUUACCUACUCCCAAACACACACACACACACACACACACACACACACACACACACACACACAGCUACCCAUCCAUUUGCCCAUGUACUCACUGUACUAUAGCUGUUUCCUCCGAUCUGGAAAUUACUAUUGACAUCCUGGAUAGAAGAUGAAAUCCCACACAUGAGCCACUCCUUUGUGGAGAGAGUGGGAAGACUCAAGGCUCCUGAGCCUUCUCCAUCCUGAGAUUAUGUAAGGGGUGAACUGAGGUUGGACGUUGGACAUCGGGUAGUGUAGUUUGCCCAGAGGGCUUUCUGGUGAUGUAGCUGCUUGUAUCGCUUUUAAGUAACCCCAGUAAACCCACUGGUUGACCACGCUGGACUUGAACUGAAGAGUCCUUCCUUUGGUGUGUCCGUGUCCUCUCUGGAGUGAAUACAUGGGUUGGUUUUUUUAUGUGUCGCUGGGGAAAGUCACAUGUAUAUACCCACCCCGUCCUCUCAUUCAUUCUUUGGUUCAUCUAUC
rnacentral:lncRNA from 1 species